CGGGCUGUGGCGCAGCUUGGUUAGCGCGCCUGCUUUGGGAGCAGGAGGCCGUCGGUUCAAAUCCGACCAGCCCGA
rnacentral:tRNA from 2 species